rnacentral:tRNA from 1 species
AGGAUAAUAGUUAAAUUUAACAUUAAAUUUGCAAUUUAAAAAUAUUGUAUUAUCAAUUUAUCUUA